AUCUACAGCCAUACCACCCUGAAUGUGCCCAACCUCGUCUGAUCUUGGAAGCUAAGCAGGGUUGGGCAUGGUUAGUACUUGGAUGGGAGAAUUCACAUUUUACUACCCUAAUGGUUCACAUUUUCUAUAUUUU
rnacentral:rRNA from 1 species